AACGAACGCUGGCGGCAGGCCUAACACAUGCAAGUCGAGCGAGGACUUCGGUUCUAGCGGCGGACGGGUGAGUAACGCGUGGGAAUGUGCCCUUCUCUACGGAAUAGCCCUGGGAAACUGGGAGUAAUACCGUAUACGCCCUUUUGGGGAAAGAUUUAUCGGAGAAGGAUCAGCCCGCGUUGGAUUAGGUAGUUGGUGGGGUAAUGGCCUACCAAGCCGACGAUCCAUAGCUGGUUUGAGAGGAUGAUCAGCCACACUGGGACUGAGACACGGCCCAGACUCCUACGGGAGGCAGCAGUGGGGAAUCUUAGACAAUGGGGGCAACCCUGAUCUAGCCAUGCCGCGUGAGUGGUGAAGGCCUUAGGGUUGUAAAGCUCUUUCAGCUGGGAAGAUAAUGACGGUACCAGCAGAAGAAGCCCCGGCUAACUCCGUG
rnacentral:rRNA from 1 species